GAUGAACGCUGGCGGCGUGCUUAACACAUGCAAGUCGAACGAAGCUACCCAAAGGAAGUUUUCGGAUGGAAUUUAGGUAGACUUAGUGGCGGACGGGUGAGUAACGCGUGGAUAACCUGCCUUAUACAGGGGGAUAACGGAGAGAAAUUUCCGCUAACACCGCAUAAGACCACAGCACCGCAUGGUGCAGGGUAAAAAUAUUUAUAGGUAUAGGAUGGAUCCGCGUCGAUUAGCUAGUGGUGAGUAAAGGCCACAAAGGCGACGAUCGGUAGCCGGCCUGAAGGGGAACGGCCCAUUGGAUUAAGAACGGCCCAACUCUUACGGGGGGCAGCAGUGGGAUAUUGGACAAUGGGGGAAAACCCUGAUCCAGCGACGCCCGCGUGAGUGAAGAAGUAUUUUCGGUAUGUAAAAGCUCUAUCAGCAGGGAAAGAAAAUGACGGGUACUUGAACUAAGAAAGCCCCGGCCUAACUACGUGCCAGCAGCCGCGGGAAAUACGUAGGGGGCAAAGCGUUAUCCGGGAUUUAACUGGGGUGUAAAGGGAGCGCAGACGCAAUUGCAAGGUCUGAGGUGAAAGGCGUGGGCUCAACCCAUGAACUGCUUUUGGAAACUUGUUUUAGCUUGGAGUGUCGGGAGGGGGUAAGGCGAAUUUCCUAGUGUAGCGGUGGAAUUGCGUAGAUAUUAAAGGAAGACACCCGGAGGCGGAAGUCGUCUUUACUGGAUGACAGCUGAGGUGGGGGGUCCGAAGGCUGCGAGAGCAAACCAGAAUUAAAAACCACGGAAGUCCAGGGGCGAAGUGCGCAGUGGUUUU
rnacentral:rRNA from 1 species